ensembl:lncRNA
ACUGGGUUCAGUAUUGUUCUUGAUGGGGCGAUAAUUGGUGUGACACACCUCAAAACUUUCCUUUGCUUGGAAGUCUGUGAAAGAGGUUGUUCUCUGCAUGGCAUUCGGCUCCUGGGGAGCAAUUUCCCUUUAAGAAAAGAAGGCAUAUUGCAUCAAGGAACUGUUAGUCUGUGGGAAAUUGAUACAAUCCUUCCUGAAGUAUCAGGAGUAAAAGUUUGAUAUCAAUGAGCUAACCCGACUUCUGCCACAAAUGGUGUCUUAUGCUAACAAGAGAGGUCCACACCCUGGCGCCGCUUUAACACCUCAGCGACGGCCAUCAGGACGUUUGUGUUUGUGUGUGUCUGUGUGUGUGCGUUUGUUUGUUUGUGCAGGUGUGUUUGUGUGUGUGUCUGAGUCUGAGUGUGUCUCUCUGAGUGUAUGUAUC